rnacentral:rRNA from 1 species
UACGUAGGGGGCUAGCGUUGUCCGGAAUCAUUGGGCGUAAAGAGCGUGUAGGCGGCUCGGUAAGUCCGCUCUGAAAGCCCGGGGCUCAACCCCGGGGAGGCGGGCGGAUACUGUCGGGCUAGAGUCCGGAAGAGGCGAGUGGAAUUCCUGGUGUAGCGGUGAAAUGCGCAGAUAUCAGGAGGAACACCAUACGGCGAAGGCAGCUCGCUGGGACGGUACUGACGCUGAGACGCGAAAGCGUGGGGAGCAAACAGG